ACAGUGGUUGUUCAACGGUAGAAUUCUCACCUCCCAUGCAGGAGACCCAGGUUCAAUUCCCGGCCAGUGUA
rnacentral:tRNA from 1 species